AGUGCUCGUGGGCUGGUUCUUAACCUCAACCUGGUGUUUUCUCCAGUAUGAAGUGUUGCUGCUGCUGCUGCUGCUCGUGUCCAGCUCUGUGCGACCCCAGAGACGGCAGCCCACCAGGCUCCCCUGUCCACAGGAUGCUCCAGGCAAGAACACUGGAUGUUUUGCUGGCGACUUCUGUCAUAAAAGGGGACCGUGUAUCAGUUCUCCAGAGAACUCAUUCCAGUCACAGAGGUUUGUUCUGAGACCUCUUGGGAGCUGCAGCCUGGCCGCUUGAGUUGGAGCUUCCUGAAUUCAUCCAUCGCUUUUCAUGACGCUGGACCCAGCUCCUUUGGAGAUCACAGUGGACUAUGAGAGCCAAAUGUUUCUAACAGGCCCCAUUCCCGCUUGCUGCUUCCUGAAGUGCUGUCUCCCAGUCUUUGCAGACAGCACUUUGACCUACUCCAUGCGACCGUCAUUUCCGUGCGCUCAGGGCACCCCGCGCGCCCUGAGCCACUUUCCCCUACGGAGUGAGCCCCCAAAUGGGGACGUUCAGAGAC
ensembl:lncRNA